rnacentral:lncRNA from 10 species
AGCGCGCCUGCGCGCCCCGCCCGGGGCGUCCCUCCUGAGUGCCCCGGGAGUCCCCUGAGCCCCCUACCCGGGCCGGGGUGCGAGGCGGGUUGGGCGCACGUGCUUGUGGUCAGGGCGAGGUGCGAGGUGCCGCCGGUGGGCAACCUGGUUCUCUUCCCUGAGAGUUUGGAGGUCGGCUCCCUGCUCUGGCCAGCGUGUUAGGAACCUGACCCUGUGGAACCGCACUCCUGCGCCAUCUCUGUCCUCCCGCCUCUCCUGCCCAGCACCUUUGCCCUCUGGCUCCUACGCUGUGCUCCAACCACGCCUUUCUUAAGGAUGGCUUCCGGUCUUUGCACACACCUGUUCCUCACCUGGAAUCCCCUCCUCUCUUUACCAGAUGAACUGCUUUCCCAGCAUUCAGACCACAUUCUUGCCUUUUCUCGAGUAUCUAGUAGUCCCAAGUAUUUGGGAGGCUGAAGCGGGAGGAUCACUUGACCCCAGGAAUUUGAGGCUGCCGUCAGCUAUGAUAUGAUCGCACCUGUGAAUAGCCACUGCACUCCAGCCUGGGCAACAUAUGGAGACCCCAUGUCUAAACGAGACCCCGUCUCUAAAGUAAAUAAAUAAAAAGAUGUCUAUUUUGUGCAAGACUCUGUACCUAAAGCUGAAGACAUACGUGGUUUUGGUUUCAAAGAGCUUCCAGUUUGUUUAUUUAUUGAGACGGAGUCUCGCUCUGUGACUCAGGCUGGAGUGCAGUGGUGUGAUCUCCGCUCACUGCAACCUCCGCCUCCCGGGUUCAAGCGGUUCUUCUGCCUCAGCCUCCUGAGUAGCUGGGAUUACAGGCGGGUGCCACCACGCCCAGCUAAUUUUUGUAAUUUUAGUAGAGACGGGGUUUUAUCAUGUUGGUCAGGCUGGUCUGGAACUCCUGACCUCGUGAUCUGCCCGCCUUGGCCUCUCAAAGUGCUGGGAUUACAGGCGUGAGCCACCACGCCUGGCCUUUUUUUUUUUGAGACGGAGUCUCGCUCUUUUGCCCAGGCUGGAGUACAGUGGUGUGAUCUCGGCUCACUACAAUCUCCGCCUCCCGGGUUCAAGCAAUUUUCUGUCUCAGCCUUCCGAGUAGCUGGGAUUAUAGUCGUCCGC